CGAGGCCUUGCUGUAUCCCGCUGCUCUGAGCACCCACAGAGCUUCAAGCUAGACUCAAGCCAACUCUUCCAUCCUUGUCCCCCGUGCCCGGCCACCCCAGCCCUCUAUGCAAAUGCUAUAACAGGACCAGGUGCAUGCUCCUGCUGUGACUCUCCCUGGAACCGGAAGCCAAAACAAGCCCUUCCUUUUAUUCCAAACUUCAUCAUUAAGGAAAGCCACCGUCGCUCCCUUGAGGAAAAGGCAAUGGCUGUCUGGAGGAUCCAGCUUUGACGGAGGAAACAAAGACAAAACAACUACUAUUACAUUGAACAGUAGAAAGGUGCUC